GGUCGUAGUAAACGAAAGUGACAAGUCGUGGUGGUUGUAUUUCGAGUAGAGAGCGAAUUUAAAACGACGUCAUAACCGUUGCGACUAAGAAAUAGCCAAUCGGCCAAUCAGGCAACAAGUGAUUGUCGUUGUUGUUUGUGUUUUUGUUGACCCGUAAUAGCCGGCUAGUGAGCUUGCAUUUAAACAGCGAUCAGUGAAGCUGAGAACGCGAACAAGAUCAGUGAUUUUUAGUGCGAAAGAAAGGAAAACCGGAAAAUCGUCGGAAUUUUCGAACCGAAUCAAGUAUGUCGAAAGGCAACGAAUUUUCUUUGUCCUUUGUCGUAACAUUUCCUGCCGAUCAUGAGUUUGUUUCCAUGUCGCUAAAUAUAUUCUUGUGAUUUUGACUCAAUCCAUCAUGAAUAAUAUAAUUAGAAUACCCAGUAAUAAUUACUGGUAGUUGAUAAAGUUCGCACACAAGGAGGUGGUGGUGGUGGAGGUCGUGAUGGUGAUGAUGCAUAACACCAACCAAUGCCACAAUCAGACACCCGUGAAGUUUGUCUUUGAACACACACACAUACGAAGAGAAACCCCUCGAGUGAUGGCCAAUCAAUCAUGUCCCGUAAGAAACUGACAAAUGCCGGGAAUUUUUUUGCGCCAUAGAUAACAGCCAUGGGAGCGUUCUUUCUUUCUUUCUUUUUUUUUUGGUUUAACAUUCGCCUUGCCCUGAAAUUUUAUUCAAAACAAAAAAAUUACUAUCGGUAGUGGACUUAUUUAUUAUCUGUGGCCAAGAAACUGAAACAGCAAAAAAACAAAAA